rnacentral:rRNA from 1 species
CCUACGGGUGUCAGCAGUGAGGAAUAUUGGUCAAUGGACGAGAGUCUGAACCAGCCAAGUAGCGUGAAGGAUGACUGCCCUAUGGGUUGUAAACUUCUUUUUUAUGGGAAUAACAUGUUCCACGUGUGGGAUUUUGUAUGUCCCCUAUGAAUACGGAUCGGCUAACUCCGUGCCAGCAGCCGCGGGAAUACGGAGGAUCCACGCGUUAUCCGGAUUUAUUGGGUUUAAAGGGAGAGUAGGUGGGUUUGUAAGUCAGUUGUGAAUGUUUGCGGCUCAACCGUAAAAUUGCAGUUGAAACUGGAAGUCUUGAGUACAGUAGAGGUGGGCGGAAUGCGUGGUGUAGCGGUGAAAUGCUUAGAUAUCACGAAGAACUCCGAUUGCGAAGGCAGUUCACUGGACUGCAACUGACACUGAGGCUCGAAAGUGUGGGUAUCAAACAGGAUUAGAUACCCCAGUAGUC